UUUCAUCUUGACAAUCAAAUUAAGAAGUGCUAAUUGCAUAUUUCAAGUAUCCUUUUUGUAGGAUUUUAACUUGAUGCUCAAAAGUCUUAGUAAUAUCUCUAUUGAAUGCUCGGUUCUACAAGAAAAGAUGAGAUAGGAGCAUUAGUAGGAGACCAACAUGCCGACUCCGAUGGUGAAGUUAGUAGGGAUUUAAGAGAGACAACAUAGAGUGGUUGAAAAUGUAAAUUAGGAUUGUCUUACCUUCCUUUUUGUACUUUUCUUAUUUAUAGAUGAAGGUUAUUAGUCAUUUUUCACAAUCUUUGGCAUGUUUAGUUCUUUCCCUAAGUAUGCUUGGUAGGCUUCUUACUCAUUAGUCGAGGUCUGUUAUUUCAUUUAAAGCACCUCCUCUCUUGUUUCUUUACUAACAGUUCUUUGUUUUGUUAUGAUAUUGUGGUUGGCUUUUCUUGUUUUCUCGCUGAGAUGCCAUGAUGUCAUUCCUGUAUUUGAUUAGUACGACGCACCAUUAUUGGUUAAUAAUUGCUAGUUUUUCAUCUUUAAAACACUAGUUGUUGCCUCUUGGGGGGGGUGGGUGUUAUCUCCUUUUUUACUUAUCUUUAUUGCAUUUCUUUUCCUUCGUUUGCUUAUCUCCAUUUUCUAGUAGUACGUUCCUACUCUUCAUUUUCGGCCACUAUUACUACCAUGAGUUCUAUAAGUAAGUUUCUUUUCUCCAUUUUGCAUCUACUUCUUCUUCUUUUUUUUAUCUAUUUUUUUAUUUUGAGUAUUUCUUUAAGUCUUUGCUUUCAUUGCUUCAUAGUACCGCUGAUUGGUGUUAGCAUUUUUUUGCUUUAAUGAAAGAUUCAUUAGGAAGCAUCCAAACUGGUGAUUUAGAUGGAAGGGUUUAUGAUGAUUAUGGGUUAGAGGUGAGUGACAGUGGGGUAGAUGACAAUAGGAACGACGAUCGGGAGGUCACAGGUGGUGAGAUUCACAUUUCUAUAGGUUCAGUGGUAGGGGUCGGUUGUUGGGUAAUAAAGGUUCUAGAUGUGAGUGGAGAGAAUGCCUCUGCUCAUUUUGAGAAUACUAUGCCAGUGGAGACUGUUUGGAGAGGCCAAUUUUCCUUUGGCCAAUUGCAGUUAUCUGACAGUCGUUGUAGAUCUGGGUCUCCACUUAGGUUUUCUAGAACUUGUGACACUCUCUCCACUCUCAAUGCCUCCUUUUUUAUUUAAAAUUCAUGCUCGUUAUGGGAUUCCCCUAGAGUAUGGCCUGUCUAUUUUUGCUAAGUUAAGGGUUUGUAAUCCAUAUAAGGAGGGUUCUAUAAUCGUUUACAAAGAAAGCUUGAAAAUUGAUCUCUAGUUUAUAUUGUCCUUUUUUAUUUAUGAUCUUUUAAAACUACAUGCUUGCAUGUACAUUAGAUCACCCCCAAUGGGUGGACCUUAAUCUGUUGUGCUAAGGUUUGUGAAAAAACUAGUGUUACUCCUAGCAUUAACGUCUUUCCACAUCUUUGGUUGCUCAUUCGCAAAAAAAGCACUAUCAUUUUUUUUGCCACUCUAGGUGUGUUACGUUGACCAGGCUUCCUAAGUCCCACCAUAUUUGGAAGCUUGAGUUUUUUGCUCCGAAGAAACCUGGUGGUUAGGCCAAUAUAUCCCAAUUAUGGAGUUUUGAGGUAUAUAAAGGUAGGGUUGAUGUAGAGUUAAGCCAAAGGAGACCGAUGGUCUCAGCCUAGUAUAUAGUAAAGCUUUGAUUGGGUUAUGACUUCGGGUAUUUGAUUGCUCAGCUGAUAGAGCAGAUUCCUGGUAUCUGCACUUGUUUCAUUGGUCUUCUUUUUUUCAUUUUAAUUUCUCUAUCGCUAUUACUAUCUAUCUCACUGUUAUUAUUUUUGUUAGCAAAGACCAGUCUUCAGCAGUUUAUGAACAACAUGAGAUUGUCUAAAAAGAAAGCUUCUUCUAAAGGUUGAUAUACUUCUAUAGAAAGCAGUCCUUCUCAUGUUUCCUAGAUUGGUCUCCCAGCAUCAGUCAUUACUGAUUCUGCCAGCGUUGCUGGAUUACUAGAUACUAUGAAUAUUCUCUCUUUGCCUUAGAAUAAAGCUAAGGGCAAGGAUGUCACCAUUAAUGUCUAAGAGAUCUGUUGAGUUUAGUCUUCCAUCCUUGAUGCGAUUAGAUUUUUCACGCUAUUCUCCCAAUAAGCAUGGUUCUCAUGUUCUUCUCUUUCUCCAUCAUGCAACAGUCUGUACCUUCCCUAGAGACCAAGACAUUUACUCUCAUAUUACCAUUGAAGAGGAGAAGAUGCAGCUGGUCCAUUUAAAUGCAGACUGGAUUUGCAAGUUUUAUAUGGAGCUACUUUUAAAGCAUAAUGAAUAUAAAAGAAUCAUUGUUGCUUUUGCCAUGGCCAGCAUUUCAUGGAUUAAGGCCGAGAAUGAGUUAUGCAACUGAAUGAUAUCUUUGGUGAUGGUAGAGAUUAAGGUUGCUCGCAUAGAAAGGGAGCUAGCUGAUUCUUAAAGGUUCAAGAGGCGCUUGAGGCUCAUCGCAAAGUAGACAAGGAGAAGUUCAAAUAGGAAAAUAGAGGAUCUGAUUGAUCAAUCCUUGGUGGUUAUUGAUAAUACUAAAGCGAAGAUAUUAGCAUGAGGUCUCACUUUCUAAAUAUGAACGUGUCAUUUUUAGAGGAGAGCGAUGCUAAGGAGGGUGAGGUCACCAUGGAGACUGAUUAGGCACGCCUUAUCUUUGAUCUGGCUUCCAACUCAUCUAUUGCACCUCCUUCGAUUGAUGACCUGCCAAAAGGCCUUAUUCCUGCUUGUAUUUGUUGUUUCUUUAACAUUUAUACCUCCUUUGUUUUGCUUCUUUUUCUAUAUAAACCAAUUUGCUUAUUAAUUUGAUGUCCUUUUCACACUUAUUAUUUAUUAUGGUGUAUUUUUUUUAUUA